UAAAAUGGGAGGUAAAUUUCUCCUAAGGCUAAAUAACGGCGAGAGACCGAUAGCGAACAAGUACCGUGAGGGAAAGAUGAAAAGAACUUUGAAAAGAGAGUUAAACAGUACGUGAAAUUGUUGAAAGGGAAACGAUUGAAGCCAGUCGUACCUAUGGGUAAUCAGCCUUUUGGGUGUGAUUUUGUGGGGCGUGAAGAGUUAAACGCCUUCAUGCCUGCAUAUUCGUGCACUUUGGGUGUACUUGCCCGUGUGUAAGUUAACAUCAAUUUUGGUGGUCAUAAAAUGGCUGGAGGAAUGUAGCUUCGAUCUUGUAUUGAAGUGUUAUAGCCUUCGGUAGAUGUGACGAUCGGGAUUGAGGAUUGCAACGGAUACCCUUCGGGGCUACCUGUCUGAUCUCUGAUUGUUGCUCUGGUGCCGAAAGCUUGCUUACGGUUAUCAAAGUCGAUGGUCAAUAGGUUAGAACGGGUUAAA
rnacentral:rRNA from 1 species